GUGACUAUAAAUUACAUUGUGUUGUGUUCCAUGAUGCAAGAAGCCACUUAAAACUUAACAAAAUAAAAAAGAUUAUUAUCAUACAGAGAAUUAGACAAUGGAUUAUGUGCAUAUUCAAGCCUGUCUCAAAAUACAACAAUUAAGACAAACUGUUUAAAAAAAAAAAACCUGUCUGGCUUUCCAAAGACCGCUUGAAAUGCAGCCUACACGUUUAUAUACGAACAUCAACAAAUGUGCACAAGCAGUUCGGGGCCCGGGCUCAAUGUGUGGCGGAGUCCAACGCGUUUAACCAGAACCCUUCCCGUCUCCUUCAAGGUCAGCCAAGUUAAGGUAAACAUCGAAGGUGUCAACGAAAGUGAAUCUUCAUCGAACCUAACCUACAUGGAUAAAAAAUAUAAACCAUGGAAGUGAGACUGUCAUUAUGCAUAAUGUACGUCGUAAUCAUGUUAUACCAGUACGGUGGUAUAUAUCUUUUUUUAUAUGACCAACUAUCGCACCGAUGUUAGCAUAGCUUUCAUUAGCACCCAUUUGCACGUGAGCUAGCUAAUUGCUCACAAUGAGGGAAUCUUUACUUGGACAAAUUUGCCUACUUGAGCAGUAAGCCUAGGUUUACAUGUAAAUUACAGUUAUGUAAUCGAUUUUUUUAAUUGUUGAUUUUCUGUAUUUCUUCAAUGUAUGCCUUGUUGUGUUUGACUGGCUCUAAAUGUGUAUUGUUGAAGCCAUUACUUUAGUUACACAUAGCAAGUCUACACAGUAUAUACAAUAAUGAAAUCACCUGGUCCCAACAUACAUGGUAAGUCAAGAAAAGUAAUUGUAACUUGUCCACACAGCAAACUGAAGUAAAAUAAGAACAACUUCAAAACACAUUCACGAAGAAAGCAUACACAUUGCUUUGAAACAGUGUCCAAGGAAAGAUUUUUGGCAUGUGAGUGCAUUGAUGUGAGAAAUGGUGUGUUUGCAGUCGAAAAGAAAUGUUCUGGUCCAGCAAAACCCAUACAUGUUGUGAAAAAUACUUGGGCUAAUUCAGUUCCAACUGUGUUAAACUGUUAUGCAUGCUGGAGUAUAAAAAGCUGUUGAAUUGUACUUUUUCUUUACUUUAACAAACACUGUGUUCACAGAAACAGUGGGGGUCUUCUUCAUCCAGAAAUAUGUUCCUGGGGGGUAUUAUCACUAUUUACUAUUAUCAUAACAAACUUAACAACCUACUCUUUACUUACAGUACGCUCUGUACAUUGCAAUGGAAGCAAAGUGUGAUUUCAUUCACUGAGGAAAACAUACAGCAAAUUAGGCGACAGUGGUGCAUAGUUCUAGUUCUCCUGCAGAACAUUCCCAUGCCGUCUGAAGAAGAGAGGUUGAAAGAUGGAAAAAGACAGCAAAAAACAAAACACACUACAGGAAGGAGGAACCAAUGUUUAAAGACUUAACCCCCCCACCUCUUCAAUAUAUUUCAGGAUGAUGUAGAAGACACCCCCCACAAGAUGUCACAUCCGCAUCCAGCUCUGCAGGAUCAGACGAUACUGAAAACAAACUGCAUGGUGAACUGGGGAGCAGAUGUUCUUCUAAGGGACACCCUAGAGGCAGCAAGGUGGUUGAACUCCAAAUAUUUAAAUGCACUGUUUCCCUCCCUAGAAAAUGGCCUUCUUUGCCUCUUUUGAGGAGCAGGAGUGAAUGGUUGGCUGUGUUUUGCUACCACCAGAAACUUUGAAGAUUACCCAUCAUUUAGUUUUUCUAAGGACCCAGAAAACGAAGGCGGCGGGAGAACCUAUUCAAUUAAGUAAAUAUGUUUUGAAAAAUUAUCAUUAUAGAUAACUAUAGGAACUCAGUGUUCAGGCUAACAAAUGAGCUUCUAAUGUAAUGUUUGCUAGCUAACUUAGUAAAUUAAAUAUCACCAGCUAGCUAACUUCAUAUAGAUAUUUGGCUAUCAAUCUCGAUGUAUCGUUGUAACUCGAAAAUGCAUGUGUAGUUAGCUAACAGCCAUGGAAGAGGGUGGAUUAGCUAGCAGUUCCAGCUGUCAAAGAAGGGAGAGCUAUGAAACUCUGUCUGCAGAUUAAUAUGUCCCAAUGAAUGUCGCAAGAGAAUAAGGGUACGGCCUUGUGUAACGUAUAACUUUAAACCGUCCCCUCGUCCAUACCCGGGCGUGAACCAGGGACCCUCUGCACACAACAGUCACCAACGUAGCAUCUUUACCCAUCACUCCACAAAAGCCGUGGCCCUUGCAGAGCAAGGGGAACCACUACUUCAAGGUCUCAGAGCAAGUGACGUCACCGAUUGAAACGCUAUUAGGCGCGCACCACCGCUAACUAGCUAGCCGUUUCACAUCCGUUACACUUGUAUACCAUGGGUUCGACACAGUGUAUACAAAACAUUGAGGACACCUGCUCUUUCCAUGACAGACUGACCUGGUGAAUCCAGGUGAAAGCUAUGAUCCCUUUUUGAUGUCACUUGUUAAAUCUACUUCAAUCAGUGUAGAUAAAGGGGAGGAAACAGGUUAAAGAAGGAUUUGGUCAUAGGUGCCAGGCGCACCAGUUUGUGUCAAGCACUGCAAUGCUGCUGGGUUUUUCACGCUCAACAGUUUCCCGUGUUAAUCAAUAAUCGUCCACCACCCUAGGAACAUCCAGCCAACUUGUCACAGCUGUGGGAAGCAUCGGCUGUGGGUGCAACUCAAUAUUAGGAAGGUGUUUAUGUUUAGUAUACUCAGUGUAUGUGUACUUAUGUUAGCAGAUUGUGUAAGCAAAAAAUACAGUAACACACCAUGUGUAAACCUAUUAUGACUGGAGCAGACCAGCCCUGUUGGCUUCGUGUGCAGGUUUCGGUUCCAGCCCAGCACUAACAACCCGUAUUCAAUUUAUCAAACCUAAUUAGUUGAUCAUUUAAGUGUGCUAUUGCUGGGCUGGAAUAUAAAUCUGCUCACUCAGUGGAGCAAGGUUGGCCACCGUUGGUAUGCACUUUUUUUUUCUUCACCUGAAAUGAUGCUUUAGUAAUAAUAGCCAACUUGUUACUAAGAUUUCUAACCAUUACAUAUGACUUAGCUUACUUGUACACUUUGAAAUGACAAAUAGGGUUGAUUCUUUGAAGUGAAGGGUUUAAACUUGUUUUAAUUUGUUAACUUAACUAUUAUUCAAGAUGAACUAGUGUCAAUGUUGAUUAAUCACAGAUCACAAUUGUGCAAUAAAGAUAGGAAGGGAAUCUGUCUCUAAUUUGUCUCCGUUUCUGUGUUGUGUUCUCAAAUGAACACUACCUUUUUUUCAGUUGCAAACUUUCCAAUUAGUUUUAUUUGAUUUUCACUUGUUUUUUCAGGUUAUCAGUCAUGUGAUGCCAUUUUGCAGCUGAUAAUGGCAUGCAAUGCCAAUGCAGCCAUAGGCCUACAGCAGUGGUUCCCACUUCAGAUCUUGAGUAUGCCCAACAGCACACCUUUUGCUUCUCGCCCCGGACAAACAUUCAACUCAUUGAGGGCCUGAUGAUUAGAUGAAUCAGGUGUGCUUGUUUGGGCUACAAUAAAAACGUGUACUGUUGGCGGUAUUUGAGGACCAGAGUUGGGAACCACUGGCCUACAGUAUGAUGGCAUUUGCCUUAUGGGCAUUUGCAAUGCACCUCUUGACAUUCAUUAUACAUCUGAAGCAGAGAAUGGCUUAAUUUACACAUUGUUUACAUGUUGUCAUGCUAUAUCAAGGUAAGAUUAAAUAAAGACAAUCAAGAGCCCUGAUGGUAUAGGUGACCUGAAGAAGUGAUAUUCUAAAAUCAAACAGCAACAUUGUGUGAAAACCUUGUGAAGACUUACAGAAAAUGUUUGACCUCUGUCAUUGCCAACAAAGGGUAUAUAACAAAGUAUUGAGAAACUUUUAUUGACCAAUUACUUAUUUUCCACCAUAAUUUACAAAUAAAUUCAUUAAAAA
ensembl:lncRNA